rnacentral:misc_RNA from 1 species
UUAACCAUCGCGUCGUGGAUUGAACAUUCGGCUGAAAGGCUGGACCAGUAUGUCUGCGAAGCGGAUUUGGAGGCUUGCCGUGCAAACGGCUCCUCUCGAAAUGCAUUAGCUGUCUGUGGACUUGCGCCGCUGGUGUGAUAAUUUACUUCUCGCCUAUGGCAAAAGACUGACGGUGGCUUAUAAUCGCCCGCAAGGGCAACAAACUUAAG